CCCUGCAUGCAUGUACAGCUUCUGUCAAUAUAUAAGUAAUGUUUUAGUGUGAGUACAAUUAUAGUGCUAUAGGACUGACCCUGAUCAACCAACUAAUAGUAUAUAUCUACAAACCUAUAUCUCAUCAACCAACUGAGUGACUUCUUGCUGAAAGUUAAAUGAAGGGUUUCAUCAUCAUCAGUUUUCUUUUGAUUGCUGUUGCAACAAUGGCAACAGCCGUACCUAAUCCAGGUGAAUGGCAAAAAGAUGCCACUUUUCAGAAGCUGCUGCGUAUACUCAGUGUGACUCAAGGUGGUGAAGUAAAGGACUCAGCAGAGUUUAAAAUGCCAGACGACGAGAAAAUGUUUGUCAAUAUAUAUGAUGAGAUUAAGUGCAUGUGCUUCCAACUCAAGGGUAAAGAUGGCUCGUUCUGUAUUGGAUCUCCUUGUACCUUUGGGAAACCAGAGACUGCUGAAGUAGCUUCUACCCCAUAUCCACCGGGUGCAGCCCCAUGGGGGGGCGUAUGGUGAACCGAUAACAACUGAGAGACAUCGCAUCAGAUCAAAAUUAAUGUUGAAACUGAUAGAGAUUAGUAUUAUUAUUGUAUAGUACAUGUAUAGUAAUAAUUAUUAUAGUCUGUGCGUAUACAUUAUUAUGUAUAUACAGUACAUGUAUUUAAGUUUAGCUAGGCCAUACAUGCAUGCAUGCAGGCAAAGUAGAUCAGUUAUGAUUCAGUUUCUUAUCACAAAAGUCACAGUUUUUGAGUAAAAUAUUGCAAAUAAAAAUAAAGCUUAGCCGUAAGA